UGGUUUAUGUUUCAAAUAAUUUAUUGCCGUAGGAUGGGACUGCGGCCUAUCAGUUUGUUGGUGAGGUAAUGGCCCACCAAGACUAUUACAGGUACGGGCUCCGAGAGGAGCAGCCCGGAGAUGGGUACUGAGACACGGACCCAGGCCCUAUGGGGCGCAGCAGGCGAGAAAACUUUGCAAUGUGCGAAAGCACGACAAGGUUAAUCCGAGUGGUUUCUGCUAAAGGAACCUUUUGUCAGUCCUAGAAACACUGAUGAAUAAGGGGUGGGCAAGUUCUGGUGUCAGCCGCCGCGGUAAAACCAGCACCUCAAGUGGUCAGGAUGAUUAUUGGGCCUAAAGCAUCCGUAGCCUGCUUUGUAAGUUUUCGGUUAAAUCCAUACGCUCAACGUAUGGGCUGCCGGGAAUACUGCAAAGCUAGGGAGUGGGAGAGGUAGACGGUACUCGGUAGGAAGGGGUAAAAUCCUUUGAUCUAUUGAUGACCACCUGUGGCGAAGGCGGUCUACCAGAACACGUCCGACGGUGAGGGAUGGAAGCUGGGGGAGCAAACCGGAUUAGAUACCC
rnacentral:rRNA from 1 species